GAUGAACGCUGGCGGCGUGCCUAAUACAUGCAAGUCGAGCGAACGGACGAGAAGCUUGCUUCUCUGAUGUUAGCGGCGGACGGGUGAGUAACACGUGGAUAACCUACCUAUAAGACUGGGAUAACUUCGGGAAACCGGAGCUAAUACCGGAUAAUCUUUUGAACCGCAUGGUUCAAAAGUGAAAGACGGUCUUGCUGUCACUUAUAGAUGGAUCCGCGCUGCAUUAGCUAGUUGGUAAGGUAACGGCUUACCAAGGCAACGAUGCAUAGCCGACCUGAGAGGGUGAUCGGCCACACUGGAACUGAGACACGGUCCAGACGCCUACGGGAGGCAGCAGUAGGGAAUCGUCCGCAAUGGGCGAAAGCCUGACGGAGCAACGCCGCGUGAGUGAUGAAGGUCUUCGGAUCGUAAAACUCUGUUAUUAGGGAAGAACAUAUGUGUAAGUAACUGUGCACAGCUUGACGGUACCUAAUCAGAAAGCCACGGCUAACUACGUG
rnacentral:rRNA from 1 species